AUGCCUUAGUAACGGCGAGUGAAGCGGCAAUAGCUCAAAUUUGAAAGCUGGCCCCUUUGGGGUCCGCAUUGUAAUUUGUAGAGGAUGAUUCGGCGAGGGCUCCCGUCUAAGUCCCCUGGAACGGGGCGUCAUAGAGGGUGAGAAUCCCGUAUGUGAUGGGUUGCCUUAGCCAUGUGAAUCUCCUUCGACGAGUCGAGUUGUUUGGGAAUGCAGCUCUAAAUGGGAGGUAAAUUUCUUCUAAAGCUAAAUACCGGCCAGAGACCGAUAGCGCACAAGUAGAGUGAUCGAAAGAUGAAAAGCACUUUGGAAAGAGAGUUAAAAAGUACGUGAAAUUGUUGAAAGGGAAGCGCUUGCAGCCAGACUUGUCCGCAGUUGCUCAACCGGUCUCCUGACCGGUGUACUCUUCUGCGGCCAGGCCAGCAUCAGUUCGGGCGGUCGGAUAAAGGCCUCGGGAAUGUAUCUCCUCUCGGGGAGUGUUAUAGCCCGGGGCGGAAUGCGGCCAGCCUGGACUGAGGAUCUCGCUUCGGCUAGGAUGCUGGCGUAAUGGCUGUAAGCGGCCCGUCUUGAAACACGGACCAAGGAGUCUAACAUCUAUGCGAGUGUUUGGGUGUCAAACCCAUACGCGUAAUGAAAGUGAACGGAGGUGGGAACCCUUACGGGUGCACCAUCGACCGAUCCUGAUGUCUUCGGAUGGAUUUG
rnacentral:rRNA from 1 species